AAUAGAUACCCCGGUAGUCCAUGCCGUAAACGUUGGGCACUAGGUGUGGGGGACAUUCCACGUUUUCCGCGCCGUAGCUAACGCAUUAAGUGCCCCGCCUGGGGAGUACGGCCGCAAGGCUAAAACUCAAAGGAAUUGACGGGGGCCCGCACAAGCGGCGGAGCAUGCGGAUUAAUUCGAUGCAACGCGAAGAACCUUACCAAGGCUUGACAUGGACCGGACCGGGCUGGAAACAGUCUUUCCCCUUUUGGGGCCGGCUUACAGGUGGUGCAUGGUUGUCGUCAGCUCGUGUCGUGAGAUGUUGGGUUAAGUCCCGCAACGAGCGCAACCCUCGUUCUAUGUUGCCAGCACGUGAUGGUGGGGACUCAUAGGAGACUGCCGGGGUCAACUCGGAGGAAGGUGGGGACGACGUCAAAUCAUCAUGCCCCUUAUGUCUUGGGCUUCACGCAUGCUACAAUGGCCGGUACAAAGGGUUGCGAUACUGUGAGGUGGAGCUAAUCCCAAAAAGCCGGUCUCAGUUCGGAUUGGGGUCUGCAACUCGACCCAUG
rnacentral:rRNA from 1 species